UCAAAGACAAGGAAGAGAAGAGUAUGCAGGGUGAAGCUUACAGAGAGUUUUCCGCUUAUGGUGUAAGGAAACAGGGAAUCCCUGAGGAAGAUGGUCUUGGAGUCGCAUGGGCAAUCGGAGUUCAUGACGAAUAAGCGCCCGUUACAGCGCAAAGGUAUAACCGGAUGUAUCCGGCGUACUGGAGAAGAUUCGCCAGACUUAGGCGGAUUGUAAAUAGGUGGUAACACGGAAUACAGCUUUCGUCCUAUGG
rnacentral:ncRNA from 1 species